GGGGGCGUCACGGCUUCGACGGAGAUGCUUGCGGCCCGAAGGCAUGCCGGAGUGCACACAUCCGUAAUCGCGUGCAAAAUGAUAAUUGCCAAUCAACAGAUGGCAUACGCUGCUUAAUUAGUUAAGUAGCCGUCCUCCGCGGCUUUGCCCGUGGGCUGCGGUCGGGACGUCGCACAGCGGGCUGCUCUUGCCGGCUACGUCUGGGCCGGGAGGCUAAGAUCUCAGGCUAGCGGAACGCGUUUCUUGUCCGUUCUGAGCGCGGGCCGCGAACGUCCCAGGGUAAUGCCUGGGGCAUGAACGUGAAUAAGCAUGUAGUCUUCGGACCAGUAACAUUUUCGGACGCGGGUUCGACUCCCGCCGCCUCCACCA
rnacentral:tmRNA from 1 species